UACAGAGGUCUCAAGCGUUGUUCGGAUUCAUUGGGCGUAAAGGGUGCGUAGGCGGCGCGGUAAGUUGGGUGUGAAAUCUUGGAGCUUAACUCCGAAACUGCAUUCGAUACUGCCGUGCUUGAGGACUGGAGAGGAGACUGGAAUUUACGGUGUAGCGGUGAAAUGCGUAGAUAUCGUAAGGAAGACCAGUGGCGAAGGCGGGUCUCUGGACAGUUCCUGACGCUGAGGCACGAAGGCCAGGGGAGCAAACGGG
rnacentral:rRNA from 1 species